rnacentral:misc_RNA from 1 species
GAAAUGCGAUAAGUAAUGUGAAUUGCAGAAUUCAGUGAAUCAUCGAAUCGUUGAACGCACCUUGCGCUCCUUGGUAUUCCUUGGAGCAUGCCUGUUUGAGUAUCAUGAAAUCUUCAAAGUAAAUCUUUUGUUAACUCAAUUGGUUUCUACUUUGGUAUUGGAGGUCUUUGCAGCUUCACACCUGCUCCUCUUUGUUCAUUAGCUGGAUCUCAGUGUUAUGCUUGGUUCCACUCGGCGUGAUAAGUUAUCUAUCGCUGAGGACACUGUAAAAGGUGGCCAAGGUAAAUGCACAUGAACCGCUUCUAAUAGUCCAUUGACUUGGACAAUACUUUUAUGAUCUGAUCUCAAAUCAGGUAGAACUACGCGCUGAACUUAAGC